rnacentral:rRNA from 1 species
UACACUCCUGCGGGAGGCAGCAGUGGGGAAUAUUGGACAAUGGGCGCAAGCCUGAUCCAGCCAUGCCGCGUGAGUGAUGAAGGCCCUAGGGUUGUAAAGCUCUUUCACCGGAGAAGAUAAUGACGGUAUCCGGAGAAGAAGCCCCGGCUAACUUCGUGCCAGCAGCCGCGGUAAUACGAAGGGGGCUAGCGUUGUUCGGAAUUACUGGGCGUAAAGCGCACGUAGGCGGAUCGAUCAGUCAGGGGUGAAAUCCCAGGGCUCAACCCUGGAACUGCCUUUGAUACUGUCGAUCUGGAGUAUGGAAGAGGUGAGUGGAAUUCCGAGUGUAGAGGUGAAAUUCGUAGAUAUUCGGAGGAACACCAGUGGCGAAGGCGGCUCACUGGUCCAUUACUGACGCUGAGGUGCGAAAGCGUGGGGAGCAAACAGGAUUAGAAACCCUGGUAGUCCCAUGAU